GGGGGUGCUCUGGUUUCGACAGGGCUGUUGAAGUGUUGGUUGCAUGCCGAGGGUCUGGUUGGCCUCGUAAAAAAACCGGAAAAACAUAAGUGCUAACGAAGAAUACGCACUCGCAGCCUAAUCUUUGAGCUGCGGCGGGCUUGAACUCUUGUCCGGAGGGUGAAAAGUCCGCUCGAUAAACCGGACUUGGAAUUUUGUAUGCCUGGGGCAGAGUUCUGAAAUUUUACUAGGCUUUGGGCUUUUUCUAGCCGACCUUCGCAGGCGAGAAAAGUUUGAGCUUUAAAAUGAAGGGAAAGCAUGUAGUAGCUCGCAGGGAUGCGGUUUUGGACAGGAGUUCGACUCUCCUCACCUCCACUA
rnacentral:tmRNA from 1 species